rnacentral:rRNA from 1 species
CAAUAGCGUAUAUUAAAGUUGUUGCAGUUAAAAAGCUCGUAGUUGAAUUUUUGCUUGCCGCCGAUGUCGGAACUUCCGUACGUUCGGCGGCGUGCAUCCUUGGGUGGAACCUGUGUGGCAUUAGGUUGUCGUGCAGGGGAUGCUCAUCGUUUACUGUGAAAAAAUUAGAGUGUUCAAAGCAGGCUUACGCCGUUGAAUAUAUUAGCAUGGAAUAAUGAGAUAGGACCUUGGUACUAUUUUGUUGGUUUGCGCACCGAGGUAAUGAUUAACAGGGACAGUUGGGGGUAUUCGUAUUCCAUUGUCAGAGGUGAAAUUCUUGGAUUUCUGGAAGACGAACUACUGCGAAAGCAUUUACCAAGGAUGUUUUCAUUAA